UACGUAGGGCGCAAGCGUUGUCCGGAAUUAUUGGGCGUAAAGAGCUCGUAGGCGGUCUGUCGCGUCGGAUGUGAAAGCCCGGGGCUUAACCCCGGGUCUGCAUUCGAUACGGGCAGACUAGAGUGUGGUAGGGGAGAUCGGAAUUCCUGGUGUAGCGGUGAAAUGCGCAGAUAUCAGGAGGAACACCGGUGGCGAAGGCGGAUCUCUGGGCCAUUACUGACGCUGAGGAGUGAAAGCGUGGGGAGCGAACAGG
rnacentral:rRNA from 1 species